rnacentral:misc_RNA from 1 species
UGGGCGUUCACUUUUUUUGGUGAAGCACGCCACGCCCCCGCCCAACAUCAUCAGCGUUCGUGUCCUCUGUCUCCCGCAAUCCCCGCCCGGCCAUCCCACGCUCGCGCCAUCGAUGGCUCUCCUCCUCGCCUCGCGUCCGCCACCUCCUCCUCGCCCCACAUAUGGUGCGUCCGCCACCUCCUCCUCGCCCCGCUUGCUGCUAUCUGGGGAGAUCUCCUCGUCCCACAUGCGGCGCGUCCGCAGUCCACGAAAGGUCUGCACCUCCUCCCGUGCCGUUAAUGGAAGGUCUGCCACCUCCUCCCGCGCCCGCGCCGUCAAUGGAAGGUCCGCCACCUCCUCCCGCGCCCACGUCGUCAAUGGAAGAUGUUUACGUGCAUCUGUUAGAUCCGGGGCAAGAGGACGGUGAAAGACUUGGACCUUGUCGGCGAGCGCAACCGCUAAUCUUAAACUAAUUAGCAAGUGUGGAAAUAAAGGUACACAGUAGUGAUUAUCUGAGAUUUAUAUGAACUUUUGAUGUAUUUUUUCUUUUUUGUUUGCCUUCAUCUAAAUUUCUAUAGUACAAUAGAAAAAUGAUCAUUAUCAUCAGAAUAUUAUAGCGGUAGCACACAACGAAGGUAAAC